CCUACGGGAGGCAGCAGUGAGGAAUAUUGGUCAAUGGACGCAAGUCUGAACCAGCCAUGCCGCGUGCAGGAUGACGGCUCUAUGAGUUGUAAACUGCUUUUGUACGAGGGUAAACCCCGAUACGUGUAUCGGGUUGAAAGUAUCGUACGAAUAAGGAUCGGCUAACUCCGUGCCAGCAGCCGCGGUAAUACGGAGGAGCCGGGCGUUAUCCGGAUUUAUUGGGUUUAAAGGGUGCGUAGGCGGUUUGAUAAGUUAGAGGUGAAAUGUCGGGGCUCAACCCCGAAACUGCCUCUAAUACUGUUGGACUAGAGAAUAGUUGCGGUAGGCGGAAUGUAUGGUGUAGCGGUGAAAGGCGUAGAGAUCAUACAGAACACCGAUUGCGAAGGCAGCUUACCAAACUAUAUCUGACGUUGAGGCACGAAAGCGUGGGUAGCAAACAGGAUUAGAUACCCCAGUAGUC
rnacentral:rRNA from 1 species